UUAAGUUCAGCGGGUAUCCCUACCUGAUCCGAGGUCAAAAUGGUGAGAGUUGGCUUCUGGGAGCCGCUCCGCCGGGCCACGAGUUCGCGUUUCUGCUGCGCUCGGAGCCGACGUGAGGGCCGCCAAUGGAUUUGAGGCGAGUCCGCGCGCGGGGCGGGACGAGACACCCAUCACCAAGCUGGGCUUGAGGGUUUAGAUGA
rnacentral:misc_RNA from 1 species